UACGUAGGGGGCUAGCGUUGUCCGGAUUUAUUGGGCGUAAAGAGCUUGUAGGCGGUCUGUCGCGUCUGCUGUGAAAAUCCGGGGCUCAACCCCGGACUUGCAGUGGGUACGGGCAGACUAGAGUGUGGUAGGGGAGACUGGAAUUCCUGGUGUAGCGGUGAAAUGCGCAGAUAUCAGGAGGAACACCGAUGGCGAAGGCAGGUCUCUGGGCAUUAACUGACGCUGAGGAGCGAAAGCAUGGGGAGCGAACAGG
rnacentral:rRNA from 1 species